ACAAUUUCACAAUCAAACACAAAUCCACCAAAAAUACCAUAAACCUCAAAGCAAUUAAAUUUAAAAUUGGAACAACACACCGGCUAAUUUCUGCAGCUCUGCUCUGUAGAACUGAACCGGCGAUCGGGAGCCGGCGACGCAGCAACAGGUCAGACCAGGCGACCACUUGAGGAGAAAAACAAAACUCCCUGCGCGGCUUCGCCCUUCGGACCCUUCCCCGCUUCGGCGCUUCCCGGCGCUGGCAGUGGCAGAACACAACAGAUGUUCAAUACAAUUGUCAAUUGAGUUGAGAGUGAGAGAUGGAGGAGAGAGUUGAGAGAUGGAAAGAGAGAGAGAGCCGUGAGAGUGAGAGAUGGAGGAGAGAGUUGAGAGAUGGAAGAGAGAGAGAGCCGUGAGAGUCUGAGAGCAGAGAGAAGAGAGUUAUGAGAGAGAGAAAUUGUGAGAGAGC
rnacentral:lncRNA from 1 species